AUCAACGGUGGUGCUGAUGGGGCAACCUUCGGGUUGGCCAGCUAUCGUAGAGAGUCUGGUAUUCCUACCCCCAUUAGCGCCACCAACUUG
rfam:Buttiauxella agrestis ATCC 33320 GBAG.assembly.047, whole genome shotgun sequence.